UACGAAGGGGGCUAGCGUUGCUCGGAAUCACUGGGCGUAAAGCGCACGUAGGCGGAUUGCUAAGUCAGGGGUGAAAUCCUGGAGCUCAACUCCAGAACUGCCUUUGAUACUGGCGACCUUGAGUCCGGGAGAGGUGAGUGGAACUGCGAGUGUAGAGGUGAAAUUCGUAGAUAUUCGCAAGAACACCAGUGGCGAAGGCGGCCCACUGGCCCGGUACUGACGCUGAGGUGCGAAAGCGUGGGGAGCAAACAGG
rnacentral:rRNA from 1 species